rnacentral:rRNA from 1 species
GAUGAACGCUGGCGGCGUGCCUAACACAUGCAAGUCGAACGGAGUUACUUUGGUGAAGUUUUCGGAUGGAUCUGAUUUAACUUAGUGGCGGACGGGUGAGUAAUGCGUGAGCAACCUGCCCUUCAGAGGGGGACAACAGUUGGAAACGACUGCUAAUACCGCAUAAUGUAUCCGGGAGGCAUCUCCUGGAUACCAAAGGAGAAAUCCGCUGAUGGAUGGGCUCACGUCUGAUUAGCUAGUUGGUGAGGUAACGGCUCACCAAGGCUGCGAUCAGUAGCCGGACUGAGAGGUUGAACGGCCACAUUGGGACUGAGAUACGGCCCAGACUCCUACGGGAGGCAGCAGUGGGGAAUAUUGGGCAAUGGGCGAAAGCCUGACCCAGCAACGCCGCGUGAAGGAAGAAGGCCUUCGGGUUGUAAACUUCUUUAAGAGGGACGAAGAAGUGACGGUACCUCUUGAAUAAGCCACGGCUAACUACGUG